rnacentral:rRNA from 1 species
GACGAACGCUGGCGGCGUGCUUAACACAUGCCAGUCGAACGGAAAGGCCCUGCUUUUGUGGGGUGCUCGAGUGGCGAACGGGUGAGUAACACGUGGGUAACCUGCCCUUGACUUUGGGAUAACUUCAGGAAACUGGGGCUAAUACCGGAUAGGAGCUCCUGCUGCAUGGUGGGGGGUGGAAAGUUUUGGCGGUUGGGGAUGGACUCGCGGCUUAUCCGCUUGUUGGGGGGGUAGUGGUUUACCAAGGCUUUGGCGGGUGCCCGGCCUGAGAGGGUGACCGGCCACCUUGGGGCUGAGGUAGGGCCCAGACGGCUACGGGAGGCAACAGUGGGGAAUAUUGCACAAUGGGCGGAAGCCAGAUGCAACAACGCCGCGUGCGGGAAGACGGGCUUCGGGUUGUAAACCACUUUCGACUUUGAAGAAGCGUGAGUGACGGUAAUGGGUAAAGAAGCACCGGCUAACUACGUG